UUGGAGUUCUAGCUCACCUUUCUGGUGUUGUUCUUGUACUCAUCUGUUUAAUCUAGUUCUGCCACUUCUUCUUGAACUUCUUGUUAGAUUUCAAGUCUGUAUUUUGUAUCCGUGACAAUUAUAAAGAUAAAAAUAGAUAUUACUUAUAAAAAUCUUAAAGUUUAGUAUAUUUAGUUUAUAAUCUAAUAUGUUGAAUUAAAGAGUAUUUAAAGAGUUUUUGAAUUAUGAAUCUCAAGUAGAGCUAAAGUUGGAGCUUUCUUUAUCAAAGCUAUUAAAUCAACUAUUCCAACUAUUGCAACUUUUGUAAGAUCAUCUUCAAGAUGAAGUUGGACCUUCUUAAAGC
rnacentral:lncRNA from 1 species